AGGUCUUGCUGUAACAGCAUCAAUCUAUGAUGUUGCUAUGGACUGAAUAUUUUUAUCUCCUUAAAACUUCGUGUUGAAAUUUAACCUUUAGUACAACAGUAUUGGGAAUUAUGGUUUACCCUUCAUGAAUGAUAUUGGGUGCUUAAUGGAAUUGAGACUUGAUAAAAGGGGUUUGAUCAUUUUUUCCAUCCUUUCCUCCCUUGCACCACGUGGGAAUAUAGCAUUCCUCCCUCUGAAGGAUGCAGCAACACAGUACCAUGCUGGAAGCGCAAAGGAGCCCUCACCAGAACCUCUCAGUACCUUCUGUUGGACUUCACAGCCUCCAGAACUGUCAACAGGAGACCAGGAGAAUGUAUGACUAGAUCUUGACAAACACAUAACCUCUGUAGAAACAGCUCAGCAUCCGAUCCUUUUCCUGGUGGAUCGGGAAUGUUAUCUUUACUCAAAGAUGGACAAAGGGCAGGUAUGAAGGCCUUGGAGUCAAAAGAACAAAGUUCAAGUUCUGAUUACACCAUUCACUUGUGCAACCAUGGCCAAGUCACCUCUGCACUAUGGGAUGCAUUUUUCUGAUCUAUAAAAGAAGAACAAUGAACUUGAAUAACCAAAGAAGGCAGAAGAUGUGUACUGUGUUUCCUGAAUGAGAAGAGAUUGGAAAUUAACAACAAAACUAUAUGAUGGCUUAUGUUUCAAUAAAAUAUUAAAGAAACUCUGAGAUAUGGCAAAUAAAGAAG
rnacentral:lncRNA from 1 species